rnacentral:rRNA from 1 species
GGACGAACGCUGGCGGCGUGCUUACCACAUGCAAGUCGAACGGUGAACCUCUUCGGAGGGGAUCAGUGGCGAACGGGUGAGUAACACGUGGGCAACCUGCCCCCGGCUCUGGGAUAACUCCAAGAAAUUGGGGCUAAUACCGGAUGUUCACCGCUUCCCGCAUGGGUGGUGGUGGAAAGGGUUUCCGGCUGGGGAUGGGCCCGCGGCCUAUCAGCUUGUUGGUGGGGUAGUGGCCUACCAAGGCGACGACGGGUAGCCGGCCUGAGAGGGUGACCGGCCACACUGGGACUGAGACACGGCCCAGACUCCUACGGGAGGCAGCAGUGGGGAAUAUUGCGCAAUGGGCGGAAGCCUGACGCAGCGACGCCGCGUGGGGGAUGACGGCCUUCGGGUUGUAAACCUCUUUCAGCAGGGACGAAGCGCAAGUGACGGUACCUGCAGAAGAAGCACCGGCCAACUACGUG